GGCUGGGUAGCUCAGGCGGUCAGAGCGAACGGCUCAUAACCGUUAGGUCGAGGGUUCGAGUCCCUCCCCAGCCACCA
rnacentral:tRNA from 1 species